rnacentral:snoRNA from 1 species
CCCUUCUGCAUUAACAGAAGUCUGCUAUAAUUGUGUGAUCCAGAUGUUCUGGUUCAUGCAAUCAUGCUAGCAGACUAUGACGUGGAAGGAGAUUGUUGUGCACUGGACUGAAAACGAGAUGCAGUCGAACCUCUUUCUUAAUGUUCAUUGGCUUCCGUCUCAAGGUCAAGUGCUACAACU